GUGUCAUUAUUAUUCAUAUUGUUGCUUCAGCUCUCCUCCGUCUUCCUGUUAGCUUCAGAUUCAUAAGAGAAGAGAUGGUUUUUCCAUCCUCGUAAACAUCUUCAUAAACCCAAGCAAAAGUCCUCCUGCCUUUAACCUUCUGAUAGUCUACAUUUGUUUUACCUAAAAUAGAAUCAGUGUAUAAAUACAUACAUUGAAAUGUAGAGAUUUACUGUAACAUCCCUAUUGUACUGCAAUUACCAGUUUAAUGACUCGUUGGAUAUGAAUAUUAUUUUGUCAGAUGUAAGUUUGCCAGAGGCACAAGUAUUCUAAAAUUGUCAAAAUAGGAAUACACGUUGCGUAGCAGAGCGUCCUCUAUAUAAAUUUCAUAUAGUUUAAUUAAAUGGCAUCCAGUGAUUGAAAAAGAUACAGUUUCAAUUAAAGAGCUUUAAUUGAAAAAGGUCAUUUCAAAAACUAAAUGUUCUAUUAGAAAUUCAAUUACCUCCCCGAGAAAAGGAAUAUAAUAUAAUUCUUCAUAAUGGACUCUGGAAUGUAAUAAGUUGGCCAAUUAACUAUUUUUUAUUUGAUUUAGCUAGAUUUUAUGAUCUUUGUUCACAAUAUCAAUUACAUGGAGAGCUUUGUGUAGCCACUGCUCAUAAUGGCUGCAAAUGGCAGAGGAGGAAAGAACCCUUGACUAAUUAAUGCAUCCCUAACCAGCUUUCAAUUAUAACACAAAUCACGCACCAACACACAUCUAGGUCACGAUUCUCAGCCUUUGUUCAGCACAGAGUUUUAACAUUAGAAACUUUACUUUUUCAAACUAAAGCAGGGAUUUAUGUCAAGAUGACAAAAUAUAUCAUCACCAAGUUAUAACACUGAACGUGUACUGGUUUUGUGUGGACUUUCCAGAGGUUUGUGCUUUAAACAUCGUCAGGUGAAUCUCGGCUGCUUUUACACUUUUGACAGAUAUCAAUCAAUCCAGCAGAGGAGGUCAGCGCUUUUAAUUUGCUCACGCUGCGUCCUGGGAAAUGAAUAUUCAGCACUUUAAUAAUAAAGCUGUGCUGUUUGUGCACACCCAAGACAUUCAUUUGCCAGCACCAUUGCGUUUUUCCCUUCCCAAACAUACCGUAUAUGCCGUAACAGACAAAGUGGUACCGUGGACAUUUAAACAGCCGAAAAUACGAAUGGCGAGAAUGCUCUUUUCCUUACUUUGCCGCGGUGGUCUGGGGUUUUUCCACCAGAGCUCGGUUGCAUAGUCCGGUGCAGAAGGAGAAGCUAGAACUUAGUGAAGCUGAUUGCCGACAGACACACUGAUGCUGGAAAUAUGUGCAUCAAAUACUACAGCGAUUCUGUCACGAUGUGACUAGUUAAAAUCACUCAGCCAAAUGCAACAUUUUAGACCCAAACCGUGUAUAUAUAAUCAAAUACAUUCACUUCACGUUAUUCACUCACUUUUCAGAUUAAAUAAAUUAUUCACGCUUCCAACUACAACUCGUAAAAGGGAGAAGAAAGAAAUUUCUUCAGCGCAUCAGUGAUAAUCAUACGAAAACACAAUAUUGAUAAUAGUGGAAGUCGUAACCAGUGAUCAAAGUAAAAACAUGUUUCAGAUUAUUUGGAUUUAUUUAGAUUUUUUUAAUUAAGUUAAUACUAUUUCCUAACAUAAAGGUUCAGCUGCUCUGCAAUACUUCUAAAAUACUUGAAUAGAAAAUAGAGAGGACGUCAUUGUUCUGUUGCAUUUUAUUGUGCUUCAGUUCUGUUGAAGUUGUACUUUGCUCAAGAUAUACACAUACUUUGACUUGCAGGGUGCAAAUGAUAUUAUUUGUUCAAUAAAAUGUCUUCUGCCACCACUUUCCACAAUGAGAAGACCUUCCUUUUUGACUGAGUUUGUAAAUGUCAUAAUGGUACAUCAACCUGAAAUAAAUAUUAUAGGUGGAUUUUGAAUCUCCCAUUAAAUUGAUCAGAAAGUGACUCCUCAUUCAUCUCUGUGUCUUCUUCCUUUAAUCUUCAUCCAAACAUGAAAGCUAAACAACCUUUUAAAGUCAAAAUGUCACAAUUUCAAUUUCUCUCUACGCGUGAAUAUUUUUGUAUUUUUUAUAUGAUCAUAAAUGGAUCAAAAUAAGCUUGUUGAAGAUCACCUGCAGUCUGGCAAAUGGUGAUGUGCAAUUGUUUUGGACCAAAGAAAGUUUAGCUGAUAAUGAACAUAAUAGUUUGAUGCGGCCUGCAAUGCCAUCCUGAUUCCUUGAGAUGAAACCACAGUAUUCAACGUCCUGCGCUAAAAGAUGCCAGUUGUUUUCCAGUAGGGGGCAAUAUUAACCAGGGAGGGAGGGAAAUAAGGGAAUUAAAGGGAUGAUUUGUUACUACGAAACAAUAGAGACCCAACUAAACCCAAAUGAUAUGCUGCGUGUCCUUUAAACCCAUCCAGCACAAGAACUGUGAUGUGUUUGAUUGACAGCCUACAAGCAUCACUGUUCUCAAUUACAACAUGCAUACAUGAUUUACACAGUGCAAUAAACUGUCGCUCAAUGUUGAGGAUCCACCUGAAAUGUGGAAUAAGUGCAGAGCGCAGUAAACGAUCACAUCCUCUUUGUGAAACGCACAAAGUAAACAGACAUCUGAUUCUCAGGCAACUUUGAUAAACCGACUGAUGCUGCACACAAACCUGCUUUAUUACAUGUUCAGUCUCAAAUCCCCAGAGAGAAAAUGUGUGUUGUUUGAAAAAAACAACACGUGUUUAACACACACACACGCACGCACACUCACACAAAGAGCGUAAGACGACAAACUGAAUAAUUUCACAGUGCUUCCUCCGGCAAAGAGAAGUGAGACUUCCACAGGAGCAGUGGGUUAUUAUCACUGCAUAAUGUAUUCUCAUCAUGGAAUAGUAAUCGUCAUGCAAUUAUUCACAAUCUGACCUCAAAACAAAGUAGAGGCAAAACAUCAGCUUCGACCACGCUGGAGAAGAUGAUGCCGGUUAAUCAAUCAGCCGAUUACAGUUAUUAUUGUUAUGGUCUCGUCGUGUUGCUUAUGAUGAAACACAAACCCCAUCUAGAUGCUUUUGGAAUCAUUGCAUUUAAUCACAUUAUGUGCUUAAGUGGAAUUUAUGGCUUCUUUACAACUAGAUUUCAAAAGGAAAUAUAUGCUAUUAUUUUUAUGAUGUAAUCUAUUUCUUUAAUCAGAGCUACAGUUACUCUAAUGAUGAAGGUUUCAUAAAAUAUACCAUCGUCUAUAAAAUGCAAAUUAAUUUUCAUGGCUGAAAAUUAGAGCAUUACAUCUCCAUGCAUAGAAAAUAAUGAAUAUGAACAUGAAUAAAGGGCAUUUUAAAAACAGGACUUUUAUUUGUUAAUUGUCUUGUGGGACACAUUUCCAUAAGUGGUAUUUCUGAAUUGGGGUAUUUACUUCUGUCAGGGAUCUGUUCUGGAAGAAUACGGAGAAGAAUACAAAGGGUGUAGCUGAAUAAACCCCCAGCUUUCACCUCCACGCCUGAAUCAAAUCCAAGCAGGACCCUGCCUCUGUGGUCCUCUGUGUCCUCUGUAGUCCUCUAUGGUCCUCCUGGUCCUCUGUAGUCCUCUAUGGUCCUCCUGGUCGUCUGUAGUCCUCUGUAGUCCUCCUGCUCCUCUGUAGUCCUCCUGCUCCUCUGUAGUCCUCCUGUCCUCUGUAGUCCUCUGUAGUCCUCCUUACAGCACAUGGGCUCAAUAUCUCCAAGAAAACAAAUCCUCAGCAUUGCAAUCGUUCCCAUUAAAUAAGUAUUAAAAAUACUAAUCGGCCCAAACGUUGGGGCGAUAUGAAAUAAAGAC
ensembl:lncRNA